GUCCACGCCUUAAACUAUGGAUACUAAGUGUCGGCGGGUUACCGCCGGUGCCGCAGCUAACGCAGUAAGUAUCCCGCCUGGGAAGUACGGCCGCAAGGUUGAAACUCAAAGGAAUUGACGGGGGCCCGCACAAGCGGUGGAGCAUGUGGUUUAAUUCGACGCAACGCGAAGAACCUUACCCAGGCUGGACAUGCAGGUAGUAGAAGGGUGAAAGCCUAACGAGGUAGCAAUACCAUCCUGCUCAGGUGCUGCAUGGCUGUCGU
rnacentral:rRNA from 1 species